rnacentral:rRNA from 1 species
CUCCCUUGGUGAUCGUACUGCAAACCGACUCAGGUGGACGGGGUGAAUAUCCCAAGGCGCGUGAGAGAACCCUGGUUAAGGAACUCAGCAAAUUGACACCGUAACUUCGGGAGAAGGUGUGCCGCUGGCGGUUAGUGACUUCGCGUCACGAAGCUGUUGGUGGUCGCAGUGAAAUGGCGGUUGUGACUGUUUACUAAAAACACAGGACUCUGCGAAGUCGUAAGACGACGUAUAGGGUCUGAUGCCUGCCCGGUGCUGGAAGGUUAAGGGGAUAUGUCAGAGCAAUCGAAGCAUUGAACCGAAGCCCCAGUAAACGGCGGCCGUAACUAUAACGGUCCUAAGGUAGCGAAAUUCCUUGUCGGGUAAGUUCCGACCUGCACGAGGGCAUAACAACAUCCGCACUGUCUCGACCAGGGACUCAGCGAAAUUACACUGGGGGUGAAGAUGCCCUCUACCCGCGGAAAGACGGAAAGACCCCAUGAACCUUUACUGCAACUUGGCAGUGAUUUUCGGGUUGUUCUGCGUAGGAUAGGUGGGAGGCUUUGAAGUCGGGCUUCCGGGUUCGACAGAGCCAACGUUGAAAUACCACCCUGAAUAAUCUGGAAAUCUAACCUGCGCCCAUGAUCUGGGCGAGGGACACUGCCUGGUGGGCAGUUUGACUGGGGCGGUCGCCUCCUAAAUUGUAACGGAGGCGUGCACGGUUCCCUCAGGCUGAUUGGAAACCAGCCGUAGAGUGCAAACGCAUAAGGGAGCUUUACUGCGAGACUGACAAGUCGAACAGUUGCGAAAGCAGGUGUUAGUGAUCCGGUGGUACCACAUGGAAGGGCCAUCGCUCAUCGGAUAAAAGGUACUCUGGGGAUAACAGGCUGAUCGCGCCUGAGAGUUCACAUCGGCGGCGCGGUUUGGCACCUCGAUGUCGGCUCAUCGCAUCCUGGGGCUGGAGCAGGUCCCAAGGGUUUGGCUGUUCGCCAAUUAAAGCGGUACGCGAGCUGGGUUUAAAACGUCGUGAGACAGUUUGGUCCCUAUCUUCCGUGGGCGCAGGACACUUGAGAGGAGCUAUCCAUAGUACGAGAGGACCUGGAUGGACGAACCUCUGGUGCUCCGGUUGUCACGCCAGUGGCAUAGCCGGGUAGCCAUGUUCGGAACAGAUAACCGCUGAAGGCAUAUAAGCGGGAAGCUGGCCUCAAGACUAGGUGUCCCUGACGCAAGUCACUAAAGGCCCCUCGAAGACUACGAGGUUGAUAGGCUAGGUGUGGAAGCACAGCGAUGUGCGGAGCUAACUAGUACUAAUAGGCCGUGCGACUUGACCUC